UUGGUUCGAAUACGUUUGGAAACGAACGCUAAUACCGGAUGAGCCCUACGGGGGAAAGAUUUAUCGCCAAAGGAGCAGCCCGCGUCUGAUUAGCUAGUUGGUGGGGUAAAGGCCUACCAAGGCGACGAUCAGUAGCUGGUCUGAGAGGAUGAUCAGCCACACUGGGACUGAGACACGGCCCAGACUCCUACGGGAGGCAGCAGUGGGGAAUAUUGGACAAUGGGCGGAAGCCUGAUCCAGCCAUGCCGCGUGAGUGAUGAAGGCCUUCGGGUUGUAAAGCUCUUUCGCACACGACGAUGAUGACGGUAGUGUGAGAAGAAGCCCCGGCUAACUUCGUGCCAGCAGCCGCGGUAAUACGAAGGGGGCUAGCGUUGUUCGGAAUUACUGGGCGUAAAGGGCGCGUAGGCGGCUUAUCAAGUCAGGCGUGAAAGCCCCGGGCUUAACCUGGGAACUGCGCUUGAGACUGGUAGGCUAGAGUACCGGAGAGGUAGGUGGAAUUCCCAGUGUAGAGGUGAAAUUCGUAGAUAUUGGGAAGAACACCAGUGGCGAAGGCGGCCUACUGGACGGUAACUGACGCUGAGGCGCGAAAGCGUGGGGAGCAACAGGAUUAGAUACCCUGGUAGUCCACGCUGUAACGAUGUCCGCUAGACGUUGGGGCCCUUAGGGUUUCAGUGUCGCAGCUACGCAUUAAGCCGACCCCUGGGGAGUACGGCCCCAGGUUGAACUCAAGGAAUUGACGGGGGCCCGCAAAACGGGUGGACAUGUGNUUUAUUCGAACCACNCGCAAAC
rnacentral:rRNA from 1 species